GUAGCAAUACAUCACCGGCGGACGGGUGCGUAACACGUGGGAAUAUACCUUUCGGUACGGAACAACUGAGGGAAACUUCAGCUAAUACCGUAUACGUCCUAACGGAGAAAGAUUUAUCGCCGAAGGAUUAGCCCGCGCUCGAUUAGCUAGUUGGUGAGGUAAUGGCUCACCAAGGCUACGAUCGAUAGCUGUUCUGAGAGGAAGAUCAGCCACACUGGGACUGAGACACGGCCCAGACUCCUACGGGAGGCAGCAGUUGGGAAUCUUGGACAAUGGGGGAAACCCUGAUCCAGCCAUGCCGCGUGAGUGAUGAAGGCCUUCGGG
rnacentral:rRNA from 1 species